rnacentral:rRNA from 1 species
AUGCGGCUAGAGUUCGUCGGCGCCGCACACGGAGGAGACGGGGCGAGGAGGAGCACGAGCCACCGCAACCACCUACCCGACGGUGCUGUCAUGGUUGUCGUCGUUGUGACCUACAGAGAUAGAGAGAGGGAUUUGGAAAAAGGAGACGGGAGCAAGAUGAGAAGACGAAGAAGAAGCACUGCCACCUCCGUCCCCAUCCACUGCUGGGCUCUGCUUUUCAUCCCAAACUUUUCACCUCCACGCCCCUGCAAAUUUCUCCAUCCCUUUCUUACAGAUUCUUUUGGUGUAUGCCUACAAGUUGUUUGA